rnacentral:rRNA from 1 species
CUGGUCCUUGAUGUGUAGGAUAGGUGGGAGGCUUUGAAGCGUGGACGCCAGUCUGCGUGGAGCCAUCCUUGAAAUACCACCCUUUAAUGGCUGGUGUUCUAACGUAGACCCGUAAUCCGGGUUGCGGACAGUGUCUGGUGGGUAGUUUGACUGGGGCGGUCUCCUCCCAAAGAGUAACGGAGGAGCACGAAGGUUAGCUAAUCCUGGUCGGACAUCAGGAGGUUAGUGCAAUGGCAUAAGCUAGCUUGACUGCGAGAGUGACGGCU